AGUGAACGCUGGCGGCAUGCCUAACACAUGCAAGUCGAACGGCAACACAGUAAGAGUUUGCUCUUACGGGUGGCGAGUGGCGGACGGGUGAGGAAUACAUCGGAAUCUACUUUUUCGUGGGGGAUAACGUAGGGAAACUUACGAUAAUACCGCAUACGAUGUACGGGUGAGAGCAGGGGAUAUUCGCAGCUUGCGCGAUUGAAUGAGCCGAUGUCGGUUUAGAUUGUUGGCGGGGUAAAGGCCCACCAUGGCGACGCUCCGUAGCGGGUCUGAGCGGAUGGUCAGCCACACGGAAACUGAGACACGUUCCAGACUCUUAGGGGAGGCAGCAGUGGGAAAUUUUGGACAAUGGGCGCAAGCCUGCUCCAGACAGACCGCGUGGGUGAAGAAGUCCUUCGAGUGGUAAAGCCCUUUUGUUGGGAAAAAAAAGCGGCAAGUUAAUACCCCGCUGUUCUACCGGUACCCAUAAAAAAGGCACCGCCAACCAUGGU
rnacentral:rRNA from 1 species